rnacentral:rRNA from 1 species
UUCAGUAGCCAUAUCACCCUGCAACUCACAACUGGCAGCCCACUGAAGCUACGUAAGCAGGUGUGAGCCUGGUCAGUACCUGGAUGGGAGACCUCCUGGGAAAAACUAAGGUUGCUCCUGGAA